rnacentral:miRNA from 1 species
UUGGGUUGCAAAAAAGUUCAUUUGGGUUUUUCUGUAUGAUGUUAUGGAAAAACCCAAACAAACUUUUUGGUCAUCCCAAU